UGGGCCACUACAGAAGGGGCAUCGACGAUGGAACAGAAGCUUCUCCUUCCUCGGCCUUCUUCUUCACUAAGCUGCUCUCUCUGCUCUGGUUCCUCCCCUCACUGUUGCUCUAAUCCCAAUCUCAUUCUCUCUAUCAGACUAGAGUGUUAUUACUAUCUUCUUCUUCUACCUUCCUCAAGACUUGUAUUAUGUACUACAUUCGAUGGCAAUAUAUCAUCUGUGUGAGUUGAUUUGAGUGUUCUGUGAUCGAUUUGGUUGAGUGAUCAAAGUGGGAUCGUGACAGAUCCCUAGGUGAGGUCUCGACGCGGCCACGCUGCCGCUCUCCGUGGACCUGAACAGAGCAACGGAUAGCGACACGAAUGCGACGCGGACGCUGGCGAGUGGCGACGGACGACGACUUCAAUUUUCGCGCCGGCGCACUAGGGCGACCUGCUCCGGCGGCCGCACGAGGCGCUCCCGACCGCGUUGACCGUGCUCUGAGGCCACCAGUUCCUAUCCUUCGAGGCGCCAGACGAUGGCGGGGUCGUCGCGACGGCCCGCGUGCUGCGGACGGGGGAGACAGUUGUAGUCACGGGGGACCUCCUUGUCGCGGCAGACGUCCGCACGUUGUCCAUCCGCGGCCACUUCAUCCCCGACCUCAAGCUCAGGUCAGCUGCAUACGAGCGUGCGAAUCCGUGACAAUCGUGCGCGUUUUGAUGAUCGUGGCCGGUUCAGGUACUCCGGGUACUGCACGUGGCGAGGCUUGUUCGAUUUCGGCGGGAAGGAGAGCUCCUAUGCCAUGGUCGGCAUCUGGAGAGCCUACCCGGAACUCGGCAGCUGUCUCUACUUCGAUCUUGCAUUCUUGCUUACAAGACCCACGCCGUGCUCUACGAGCUGCCCAGGAGCAGGCUCAAUUGGCUCUGGUACAUCGAUGGCCCAGAGCCGGAGCUCACGGGGAGCUUGGUGACCAUGGAGGUGAGCGACGCCAUGGUGGCGUGGAUGAGGGACAACAUGUAGGUAUAUAUUUGACAGCAACGCUUCAUCUGAAAAGAUUCCGAUGACUACACCUGUCUUCACUCAGGCUUCUGAUGACAAACUCUCAGAUGUAUCCAUCCAGAUUGUUCUACCGAUGAACAAAGACUUGAACAGUUUACCAGUUCCAAAUUUGGAAGCAAUUACUCUGCGAAAGGUAGGAGGAAUUGCUGCAGUGAAAAAAUUCAGUGGACGACCAAAAGAGCAAGUUGUACUCCAGAAGGAGAAGGAUCUACGCUCCCAAUUGCUCAAAGAUGGAUUGAAGCCUCAACAAGGCUGUUUACUUGCACGUUACAAUGAUCCCUGGACA